GACCAAUGUGCUUCAGUGAGUUCUUGGCCUAUUACUGUUGUGUCCUGGCUCACUGGAUAUCGAUGGCCUAGCAGCCUCUGGAUCUAAAAGUCUGUCACUUGAAGCUGACUCUUCAGAGAAUCCAACAGCAAUCAUAAAGAUGACUCCUCCCAGAAUCUUAAAUGGAAGCUGUAAGUGUAGGAAGAAACAAUGUAUCUCCACAGCAUGAGGAGGACUCCGAGGAAGAGGAGGAUAUGGAUCCACUGAGAACAUCCACAGAACAGAGAACAACAAUUCAAAGCCUGUGGAAAAGUGUCAUGAGAUUUGAAUAUAUGGUCAGCCCAAAGAACAUGAAAUGUAUAUUCACAAUAACUGAAAGGAGCCAAGCGGUGUGCAACCUGCAUGGGAAUUUCUGGAAUGUCAUAUGGAUGUGAAACCCAAAGGAAACAUUGGCUUCAAUUUUCCAUUCUACGUGGGAACUGCUGCAAUGAGUUUCGAUUGAAGAGCCUCCAUGUAUGCCAUCUUGGACUGUGUGCUUUUAUUUCCUGCACUGACCUUGGAUAUGACACUUCAUCAAAUACCUACUGGAAGUUCAAGUGCAGUCCAUCCCCCUUAUCCACAAGGUACUUCCUCAAGGAACUCCAAUAGAUUGCGUAAACAAGAUUUCCUUUUCAUAAAACCAUGUUGAUUCUGCUUGAUUUCUUUUAUCUAAAUGCUCUGCUAUAACUUCUUUAAUAUUAGUUUCCAUUUUUUUCGAUCUGAUAGAUCUGAAUUUAACUGACAUGUAUUUCCCACUUCUGUCUCCCUCGCUAUUUGAAU